rnacentral:tRNA from 1 species
CUGCGCGCGGUGACGACGGCGGUGUCACGGCUGGCUGUAAACCAGUUGCCUUUCGGCUCAGGGGGUUCAAAUCCCUCCGCGCAGACCA